rnacentral:rRNA from 1 species
UACGUAGGGGGCAAGCGUUGUCCGGAUUUACUGGGCGUAAAGAGCUCGUAGGCGGUCUGUCGCGUCGGCUGUGAAAACUCGGGGCUCAACCCCGAGCCUGCAGUCGAUACGGGCAGACUAGAGUGCGGUAGGGGAGACUGGAAUUCCUGGUGUAGCGGUGAAAUGCGCAGAUAUCAGGAGGAACACCGGUGGCGAAGGCGGGUCUCUGGGCCGUAACUGACGCUGAGGAGCGAAAGCGUGGGGAGCAAACAGG